rnacentral:rRNA from 1 species
GAGUUUGAUCGUGGCUCAGAUUGAACGCUGGCGGCAUGCCUUACACAUGCAAGUCGAACGGCAGCACGGGAGCUUGCUCCGUGGUGGGCGAGUGGCGAACGGGUGAGUAAUGCAUCGGAACGUAUCCUGGAGUGGGGGAUAACGUAGCGAAAGUUACGCUAAUACCGCAUAUUCUGUGAGCGGGAAAGCGGGGGACCUUCGGGCCUCGCGCUCUUGGAGCGGCCGAUGUCGGAUUAGCUAGUUGGUGAGGUAAAGGCUCACCAAGGCGACGAUCCGUAGCAGGUCUGAGAGGAUGAUCUGCCACACUGGAACUGAG